GAUUUCUGGCUUGGUGCGCGCCGUCCGCUGCGGUUACGUAGUGUGUGCGGUUGUGCGCCUGCCAUCUUUCUAGACAUCAUGCUGCGCCCUUCACUGGGUGGCAGGUGGUGGCUGGAUCUUUUACUUUGAAAAAAUUAGAGUGUUCAAAGCAGGCUUGCGCCUUGAAUACAUUAGCAUGGAAUAAUAAUUUAGGACUUCUUCCUAUUUUAUUGGUUUCUAGGGAUGAAGUAAUGAUUGAUAGGGAUAGUUGGGGGUGCUAGUAUUCAUCGGCCAGAGGUGAAAUUCUUGGAUUCGAUGAAGACUAACUAAUGCGAAAGCAUU
rnacentral:rRNA from 1 species